CAGGAAUAUCUGAACAACAGAGACCCAGAUUUACCCUGACCUACUCAACACAGUCGGAGACCAGUCAACUUGAAAGACAGACUUGUGAAAGUAGACAUUUCCUUGAAAAGCAGUUACAGAAUGGGACACGGACACUCACUCACAGGAUG